rnacentral:rRNA from 1 species
UGAACCGUUCAUUAACCUUUGUUUUUUUCGAACAAGAGAGUUGUGAGAUCAAACGUUUAAACAGCAAUAGUAAUUGAGCUGUUGUUUGAUUCGCCGCAGUCGAUGUUUUCUCUCCGGAGUUCUCGACUACGCUUGUGAAAAAUUCAAAGUGUAUUCAAUUACUACUUAUUAACCAUUAUAACCCAAUCUUUAUAACUUUAUGAACUAACUUUAUUUUAUACUCUUCGGAGAUAAAAUUCAUUACGAAACAAAGAACAACUCUUAGCAACGGAUAUCUUGGUUCUCGUAACGAUGAAGAACGCAGCGAAAUGCGAUACGUAAUGCGAAUUGCAGAAUUCAGUGAAUCAUCAAAUCUUUGAACGCAAAUUGCGCUUUCUGGAUAGGCCAGGGAGCAUGCCUCUUUGAGUCUCGUUUCUACCUCAUCUCGACUGCUCUGUUGUAAUGACGGAAGUCAGUUCGGAUAGUGAGCGUCUCAUUCGAAAUGAGUGAGUCGCUUUAAGAAGCGUGAGUUCCAAAACUCCUAGUGUUAAUCGUGUUUAAUCACAUUUUUACUAGUGACGUGGAUAAAUUUAUUUUUCAACGUCAUAGGUACUGAUGAGGCUAAGCAUUUGGCUAGGUCACCUGAAACUCAAUGGAAAUUAAAUUCUUUUUUGAAUUAAAGCUCAAAUGAAGCAAGAUUACCCGCUGAACUUAAGCAUAUUAUUAAGCGGAAGAAAAGAAACUAACAAGGAUGCCCUCAGUAA